UGACAAGAAAAUACAAUACGGGGCUUGAAGUCUUGUAAUUGGAAUGAUGGGAAUCUAAACCCCUUCCAGAGUAUCAAUUGGAGGGCAAGUCUGGUGCCAGCAGCCGCGGUAAUUCCAGCUCCAAUAGCGUAUAUUAAACUUGUUGCAGUUAAAAAGCUCGUAGUUGAAUUUCUGCUGUUUCGUUGACUGCGUUUGGCGUUUGUCAUCGUUGCGGCUUGGUUGGGUUUCGAUUAUUCGUUUCCCGGCGUUUACUUUGAGAAAAUUAGAGUGCUUGAAGCAGGCUUUUGCCUUGAAUACUUUAGCAUGGAAUAAGCGGAGUAGGACUUUGGUUCUA
rnacentral:rRNA from 1 species